rnacentral:rRNA from 1 species
UACGUAGGGUGCGAGCGUUGUCCGGAAUUAUUGGGCGUAAAGAGCUCGUAGGCGGUCUGUCGCGUCUGCUGUGAAAACUCAGGGCUUAACCCUGAGCUUGCAGUGGGUACGGGCAGACUAGAGUGCGGUAGGGGAGUGGGGAAUUCCUAGUGUAGCGGUGAAAUGCGCAGAUAUUAGGAGGAACACCGGUGGCGAAGGCGCCACUCUGGGCCGAAACUGACGCUGAGGAGCGAAAGCGUGGGUAGCAAACAGG